rnacentral:lncRNA from 1 species
AGGGAUUUAGGGGUGAGUUACUAAGUCAGUGUGUGUAAAGGGAUUUAGGGGUGAGUUACUAAGUCAGUGUGUGUGUGAAGGGGUUUAGGGAGUGAGCUACUAAGUCAGUGUGUGUGUGAAGGGGUUUAGGGGUGAGCUACUAAGUCAGUGUGUGUGUGUGUGUGUGAAAGGGGGGUUUAGGGGUGAGCUACUAAGUCAGUGUGUGUGUGAAGGGGUUUAGGGGGUGAGCUACUAAGUCAGUGUGUGUGUGAAGGGGUUUAGGGAGUGAGCUACUAAGUCAGUGUGUGUGUGUGAAGGGGUGUAGGGAGUGAGCUACUAAGUCAGUGUGUGAAGGGGUUUAGGGAGUGAGCUACUAAGUCAGUGUGUGAAGGGGUUUAGGGAGUGAGCUACUAAGACAGUGUGUGUGUGAAG